CCGAUCCGGUGAGUAAAAACAAGGACAUAAGAUCAAGUAUGAGAAGCAGCAGUCGGUCUCCUAUAGUAGUAGCCCUAAGUCUGUUUGUAAUCAGUUCUAUUCUCAAAGGGCAGGUGUUUCUAUGCUCUUGAACGACAGAUCAGUAGUAGCGUACAAAUAACAUCCCUAACAGAAGUCGGAACUCAACUAAUAAGUCUAAGAAUCCAUCUGUAAAUGUGGAAUGCAAUACAAGGGGAGUGAAUUGUCAAAAGUCAUUGAGUGAGUCUCAAUACACCGAAAGGGAAUCAUAAUAGAGUGCGUAGGACUUGGCGUAAGGAAAGC
rnacentral:lncRNA from 1 species